CCUUCCCCUAGAGGUGUUGCAGGUAUGGCUACCAUUUCAUAUGUGCAUCAGUAGGUGGCAGAGAGGAGAGAGCCUAUGUUUAAGCUCAGUGUUCUGACCUAUGGACAUCUGAAUGAUUAGUAGCCUAACACA